GUGCUCGCUCCAGCAGCACAUAUAUUAGAUUGGAACGAUACAGAGAAGUGUAGCAUGGCUCCUGCGCAAGGAUGACAUGCAAAUUCGUGAAGCAUUCCAUAUUUUA